rnacentral:lncRNA from 1 species
AUUUACCUCGAUUGGCGGUCAAAAAAUUCUCCAGUGCGGCGUCGGGUGGCGGCGGCCGGCUCCUCCGGCGUCUGGUUCUUCUUCUCCGGCGAGGCACUGGCGGCUAGGGUUUUGUGGUCAGGUGUGGGUGGGGUUAUUUAUACCCUUUGCCUUUUAAUCUCAACUGUCCAUCAAGAUUAAAUCUGGACCGUCCGAUCGCAAUUUAAUUGAGAUUAAAUCUGGACCGUCCAUCGCGAUGCGAUAUGGGCCGUCCUGAUUGAAUUUGGGUCGUCCGUAUGCGUGAAAUCUGGGCCGUCUGUGCGCGCGGGAACGGAUCUGGGCCGUCUGAUCGCGCGCAUGCGGAUAGCCCACGUGGCCCGUCCCGUGUCAGCGUUUUCUUACCACGCGGCAUGUCCUGGUUAGCCGGGGCUACUGACCGAGUUG